UACGUAGGGUCCGAGCGUUGUCCGGAAUUACGGGGCGUAAAGAGCUCGUAGGUGGUUUGUCGCGUUGUUCGUGAAAACUCACAGCUCAACUGUGGGCGUGCGGGCGAUACGGGCAGACUAGAGUACUGCAGGGGAGACUGGAAUUCCUGGUGUAGCGGUGGAAUGCGCAGAUAUCAGGAGGAACACCGGUGGCGAAGGCGGGUCUCUGGGCAGUAACUGACGCUGAGGAGCGAAAGCGUGGGGAGCGAACAGG
rnacentral:rRNA from 1 species